rnacentral:rRNA from 1 species
CCACGGAGGGAUCAUUA